rnacentral:rRNA from 1 species
UACGUAGGUGGCGAGCGUUGUCCGGAUUUACUGGGCGUAAAGCGCGCGUAGGCGGCUUCUUAAGUCCUGUCGUGAAAUCCUGCGGCUCAACCGCAGACGGUCGUGGGAAACUGGAUGGCUAGAGUGCGGGAGAGGAGAGUGGAAUUCCCGGUGUAGCGGUGAAAUGCGCAGAUAUCGGGAAGAACACCCGUGGCGAAGGCGGCUCUCUGGAACGCAACUGACGCUGAGACGCGAAAGCGUGGGGAGCAAACGGG